GUUUUUUUGAAAAUAAUUUAAAGUCAAAUCUGCCCACUGAUUUUAUUAAAGGGCUGCAGUAAAUUGACUGUACAAAGGUAGCAUAAUAAAUAGUCUUUUAAUUGAAGACUUGUAUGAAAGAUUUAAUGAGAUAUAAUCUGUCUCUUUUUUAUAAUUUGAAUUUAAUUUUUUAGUAAAAAAGCUAAAAUUUAUUUAAAAGACGAGAAGACCCUAUAGAGUUUUAUAUUUAAUUUAAAUUAUAAUUUUUUAUUAAUAUUAAAUAAAAAUUAAAUUAAAUAUUUUAUUGGGGUGAUAAAAAAAUAAAAUUAACUUUUUUUAUACUAGUAUAUAUAUAUAUAUUAGUAUAUAUAUAUAUAUAUAACAUGAAUUAAUGAAAGAAUGAUCCAUAAUUUAUGAUUAUAAGAAAAAAUUACCUUAGGGAUAACAGCGUAAUUUUUUUUUUUAGUUCAAAUAAAAAAAAAAGUUUGCGACCUCGAUGUUGGAUUAAGAUAAAAUUUAAAUGCAGAAGUUUAAAAUUUUUGAUCUGUUCGAUCAUUAAAAUCUUACA
rnacentral:rRNA from 1 species